rnacentral:rRNA from 1 species
AACUGCAUUUCGAACUGGCAAACUAGAGUGUGAUAGAGGGUGGUAGAAUUUCANGUGUAGCNGUGAAAUGCGUAGANAUNUGNAGGAAUACCNAUGGCGAAGGCAGCCNCCUGGGNNAACACUGACGCUCAUGNACGAAAGCGUGGGGAGCAAACAGGAUUAGAUACCCUGGUAGUCCACGCCCUAAACGAUGUCUACUAGUUGUUGGUGGAGUAAAAUCCAUGAGUAACGCAGCUAACGCGUGAAGUAGACCGCCUGGGGAGUACGGUCGCAAGAUUAAAACUCAAAGGAAUUGACGGGGCCCGCACAAGCGGUGGAUUAUGUGGAUUAAUUCGAUGCAACGCGAAAAACCUUACCUGGCCUUGACAUGUACCGAAUUUAGCAGAGAUGCUUUAGUGCUCGAAAGAGAACGGUUACACAGGUGCUGCAUGGCCGUCGUCAGCUCGUGUCGUGAGAUGUCGGGUUAAGUCCCUUAACGAGCGAAACCCUUGUUCCUAGUUGCCAGCACGUAAUGGUGGGGACUCUAGGGAGACUGCCGGUGUUAAACCGGAGGAAGGUGGGGAUGACGUCAAGUCCUCAUGGCCUUUAUGAUCAGGGCUGCACACGUCCUACAAUGGUGCGUACAAAGGGAGGCGAACUCGCGAGAGCAAGCAAACCCCAAAAAGCGCGCCCCAGUUCGGAUUGCAGGCUGCAACUCGCCUGCAUGAAGCCGGAAUCGCUAGUAAUCGCGGGUCAGCAUACCGCGGUGAAUAUGUUCCUGAGCCUUGUACACACCGCCCGUCAAGCCACGAAAGUGGGGUGCACCCGAAGUCGCCGAGCUAACCCUCUGGGAGGCAAGCGCCGAAG